CCUACGGGAGGCAGCAGUGGGGAAUAUUGGACAAUGGGGGGAACCCUGAUCCAGCCAUGCCGCGUGUACGAAGAAGGCCUUUUGGUUGUAAAGCACUUUAAGCGAGGAGGAGGCUACUCUAGUUAAUACCUAGGGAUAGUGGACGUUACUCGCAGAAUAAGCACCGGCUAACUCUGUGCCAGCAGCCGCGGUAAUA
rnacentral:rRNA from 1 species